GAAAACGUCAUCUGAAAGAAAUCAAGUCGAUCUGAUCAAAAACAACGGGCUCUGGACUUUCAUCAUUCAAAAUUGGUAAUCAUGAAGUCAAUGUGGUUGGUUGUUGUCGCUGUUCUGGCUGUGGCUAACUUGGGAGACGCACUGAAGUCACCACCAAAAGAUGCCCCCAAAAUCGCUCCAAAGGGCCCCCCGGGUCUGUGAGCUUCUUCACUGACCAUUACCUUGGCGGUGCCCAAGUAAAAUGAAGUGCACAAAAGUUAGUUAAUUAAUUGCAUUUAUUAAUUAAACUGGCACCAAGGCAUUAAAUGUA